rnacentral:rRNA from 1 species
AUACGGCAAUAUCAGGUUGAAACCCCGGUUCUCGUACGGUCAUAGAAGUUAAGCAACGUCGAGUCUGGUCGGUAUCUAGAUGGGUGACCGCCUUGGAAAACCAAUGCUGUA